rnacentral:rRNA from 1 species
AUUGAACGCUGGCGGCAGGCUUAACACAUGCAAGUCGAGCGAGCGGCGGACGGGUGAGUCAUGUCUGGGAAACUGCCUGAUGGAGGGGGAUAACUACUGGAAACGGUAGCUAAUACCGCAUAACAUCAGCUGUGCCCAGAUGGGAUUAGCUAGUAGGUGGGGUAAUGGAUAACCUAGGCGACGAUCCCGAGCUGGUCUGAGAGGAUGACCAGCCAAACUGGAACUGAGACACGGUCCAGACUCCUACGGGAGGCAGCAGUGGGGAAGAUUGCACAAUGGGAGCAAGCCUGAUGAAGCCAUGCCGAGGGUGGGAAGAAGGCAGUCGGGUUGUAAAGCACUUUCAGCGAGGAGGCGUUACUCGCAGAAGAAGCACCGGCUAACUCCGUGCCAGCAGCCGCGGUAAUAC